CCUACGGGCGGCAGCAGUGGGGAAUAUUGGACAAUGGGGGCAACCCUGAUCCAGCCAUGCCGCGUGUGUGAAGAAGGCCCUCGGGUUGUAAAGCACUUUCAGUGAGGAAGAACGCCUGGUGGUUAAUACCCAUCAGGAAAGACAUCACUCACAGAAGAAGCACCGGCUAACUCCGUGCCAGCAGCCGCGGUAAUACGGAGGGUGCGAGCGUUAAUCGGAAUUACUGGGCGUAAAGCGCGCGUAGGUGGCUUGAUAAGCCGGUUGUGAAAGCCCCGGGCUCAACCUGGGAACGGCAUCCGGAACUGUCAAGCUAGAGUGCAGGAGAGGAAGGUAGAAUUCCCGGUGUAGCGGUGAAAUGCGUAGAGAUCGGGAGGAAUACCAGUGGCGAAGGCGGCCUUCUGGACUGACACUGACACUGAGGUGUGAAAGCGUGGGUAGCAAACAGGAUUAGAUACCCGGGUAGUC
rnacentral:rRNA from 1 species